UGCCUCAGUAACGGCGAGUGAAGCGGCAAAAGCUCAAAUUUGAAAUCUGGCUCUUUCAGGGUCCGAGUUGUAAUUUGUAGAAGAUGCUUUGGGUGUGGUUCUGGUUUAAGUUCUUUGGAAUAUUACAUCAUAGAGGGUGAGAAUCCCGUAUGUGACCAGUCGCCGCGCCCGUGUAAAGCUCUUUCAACGAGUCGAGUUGUUUGGGAAUGCAGCUCAAAAUGGGAGGUAUAUUUCUUCUAAAGCUAAAUAUUGGCCAGAGACCGAUAGCGCACAAGUAGAGUGAUCGAAAGAUGAAAAGCACUUUGGAAAGAGAGUUAAACAGUACGUGAAAUUGUUGAAAGGGAAGCGCUUGCAACCAGACUUGCACGCAGUUGAUCAUCCGGUGUUCUCACCGGGGCACUCUGCUGCGUUCAGGCCAGCAUCGUUUUCGGUGGUUGGAUAAAGGCCUUGGGAAUGUAGCUUCUUUCGGGGAGUGUUAUAGCCCUCGGUGCAAUGCAGCCUACCGGGAGCGAGGACCGCGCUUCGGCUAGGAUGCUGGCGUAAUGGUUGUAAG
rnacentral:rRNA from 1 species